GUUAAACCUCAUGUAAUGUUUGGUUUGCUAAUAUUUAUAACUUGGGGGAUAAGUUGCUCACAAAGUUUCAUAUUUAGACGAAGGCUAGUUAAACUCCUUCUGAUGGCCGGUGGCGAGGUUCCCUUCGCGCUUAGAGUGCGGCGGCGACCACAAAGUCCUUCACAGGUCUCCUAGGAUGCGAUUCUUCAAAUCUGAUGAUCUGAUCCUUCGCAUAACUGAUGUUCAAAGCGAACGGGAAGGGAAGUUAUUGCUUGCAGUGGCAACGCCAUGAGGUGUGGCGUAGAGAACAACCUCUGGUUACCAGCGAGAAGAGGGAUGGAAUAAAAGACAAACAAAAAAAGAAAGAAGAAAAUCUAACGGCUAAGAAAUCCUUUCCCACUAUGCGUAAGAAGCUUAGCCUUCGUCUUUUAUGCAACCCAAAUUGUGCGAAGAGGGCACAUGCCUCAGCAGUCGGUACAAUGCAAAGCCUAGAAAGGGCCCUCUCGUAUCCUAUAUUAUAAUUAAUAUUUUGUUAACUAGCCAUUUGCUGGCCCCAAAAAUCAUGCAAGUCUUAUUCAGAACGCACAAGCUAGCUUUAGUUUUGAAAUACAGGAUGCAACUUAAAGUAAAUUGGGUUUACAAUAUCUUGAUGUGGUUUUUUUUAUUUA